ensembl:lncRNA
AGUCUGGUUCUUAGAGCUCUCCUCUGACCCCAAAAGAGUGCACUGAGCGCAGGAGAGCCCCCUCAGGGGGAGGGGCGCCUUUACUGCAGCACCUCAGACCUGGACAGCUGAGACCACAAUCAAGCUAGCACCACCGUGGGAAAGACUGACAGACAGAAAGACGGACAGCAAAGGCCUGCGCUGGAAGCAGACGCUGAAUUCUCCUGGCCUGCCGCGAGGAGACCCGCGUCCUGCCCCCACCCCAGGGCGUUGGGCAGAGACCCCGGAAGCCUCGGUCCCUCUGGCUUGGUCCAAUCCCGCCUCAGGAAGCGCCUUCGUUACCUGCUCCUCGGCUUCCCACGGCCACAGAUGCAGGGCAGCCGCCUCCGCCCGGGGAGGGAAGCCCCGGCCACCGCAGCCGCCGCUGCCCGCCCUCCUUCCCUCCCUCCCUCUUCCUCGCCCUCCCUCCCUCUCUCCCUCCCUCGCGCGCUGCCGCUCGCGGGGCCCUCCCGCGGGCAACCUGUUCUGGACCAAAUCCAGGUAUCUCCGAAAGAGAGAAAAAAAGAAAGGCCCUCUCAUGUGGAAAAGAAAGAAAGAAAGACCCUUAACUGCAUUUAUUUUCCAUGCUCUGACCAUUGGUCGGCCUCAGUUCGGACAUCCUGGACCCAGCCCUGCAGCGGCGGAGGUGUGCCGGGCCUGCUGCCUCGCCCACGCUGGCCGCCGCGCCCCGCGCACUGCACGCUCCACACUCUGGGCCGCCGCACCCCGGCAGCCCCAACACCAAACAGACCUCAAGGUCCUUCCUACAGACUCAACAUCUGGUGGCCCGCCUCGCCGCGGGCCUCUGCCCGGGAGCCCGCUCUGCUCCAUCUGCGGCCAAAGUCCACACACAAGCCACCUUGUCCGUGCUCUCGCGCCCGGCCUGCCGGACACCCCUCCAGACCAAGGCGCCCGCUGGCCACUCUUGGGCCGAGGCCCUGCCCGGGCUGCAAACCUCCUCCCCUGCACGGGCACCCACACAAAGCCCGGUGUCCUCACGCUCCCACCCGCAGCCCCCUGUCCCCAGCCCCUGCUGCCCUUCACCUGUUCCCGGGAAGGGCUGCAUCUCCGAGCGCGCUGAGGCAAGGCGAUGGGCCCGGGCGGUGGGUGCUGGGGAGUCCCAGGGAGGCCACAGAGGAUCGGCAGGCUAAGCCCGAGCCCCGGCAGCUGGAGAGAGAUCUCAGAGACCAAGGCUCUCCUUGGCGAGCUCUUGCCUUUUCCUCCGUCUCCCGCAAGUCUUAAACACUCACACGCCGAGAGUUCAGCUCUAUAAAUCCUGCUCCUCUUUCCCAUAUCAUAAUUAAAAAAAACCAGUAGGGGAGGUUUUAACUUUUAUUGCGAUUUCUGGAGUUGGGCUGCGGAGCAUAUAUUAAGUUUACGCUUAUGCGCUCUCGGCGGGGAGGGUCCUUUAAGAAAUAAAAAUCCAUC